rnacentral:misc_RNA from 1 species
AAGUCGUAACAAGGUUUCCGUAGGUGAACCUGCGGAAGGAUCAUUAACACGUAUCCAACGUUAAACCCUCCUGCUUUUACACUUGCUCUCGAAGCUCGCCGGAAUUGCAAUCCCUGCUAAUCAUUGUUGACCAGAUUUUGAUUCAGGGACAUCAGUUUGGUAGAUCCGAGCGAUCGUUGCAAGUGGCCUGGUUUCCACCAGUCAGUCUGAAAAUGUCAUUGAUUGUGUAAGCGCCGAUCAGACACCGGCGGUGACCAGGUCGCAGUGGCUUUGGCCCCCUACAUCACCCCACUACCUUUCAGUCGCCUCGUAGGAAACUGCUGGGCAUCAAAACGAACAACUGUUAACAAUGGAUAUCUUGGUUCUC